rnacentral:rRNA from 1 species
CAAAUCAGGUAGGACUACCCGCUGAACUUAAGCAUAUCAAUAAGCGGAGGAAAAGAAACUAACAAGGAUUCCCCUAGUAACUGCGAGUGAAGCGGGAAAAGCUCAAAUUUAAAAUCUGGUGGUCUUUUGGCCGUCCGAGUUGUAAUCUAGAGAAGUGUUAUCCGCGCUGGACC